ensembl:lncRNA
GGAAGGUGGAGAGAUAGAGAGGGUGGAGUGGAGGAUAUGUGAGGGAGCGAGGCAGAGAGAGGAGGAGAGAUAGAGAGAGUAGAGUGGAGGAUAGGUGAGGAAGAGAGGCAGAGAGAGAGAGAGAGAUAGAGAGAGUAGAGUGGAGGAUAGGUGAGGAAGAGAGGCAGAGAGAGAGAGAGAGUGGAGGAUAUCUGAGGAAGAGAGGCAGAGAGAGAGUAGAGGAUAGGUGAGGAAGAGAGGCAGAGAGAGUAGAGUGGAGGAUAGGUGAGGAAGAGAGGCAGAGAGAGAGUAGAGUGGAGGAUAGGUGAGGAAGAGGCAGAGAGAGAGAGUGGAGGAUAGGUGAGGAAG